GUUCCCCCUGCAGGGUAAGUGGAAGACGGUGGCCCCCAGCACAUGUGCUCGAUUCAUGCCAUAUGUCUGCGGACCACCCCCACCUCGAGGGGACCCCACUCCUGAG
rnacentral:pre_miRNA from 1 species